rnacentral:rRNA from 1 species
AUUGAACGCUGGCGGCAGGCCUAACACAUGCAAGUCGAACGAGUGGCGGACGGGUGAGUAAUGUCUGGGAAACUGCCUGAUGGAGGGGGAUCACUACUGGCAACGGUAGCUAAUACCGCAUACCAUCCGAUGUUCCCAGGUGGGCUUAGCUUGUUGGGGGGGUAACGGCUCACCAAGGCGCCGAUCCCGAGCUGGUCUGAGAGGAUGACCAGCCACAAUGGAACUGAUACACGGUCCAGACUCCUACGUGAGGCAGCAGUGGGGAAUAUUGCACAAGGGGCGCAAGCCUGAGGCAGCAAUGCCGCGUGUAUGAAUAAGGCCUUCGGGUUGUAAAGUACUUUCAGCGGGGAGGCGUUACCCGCAGAAGAAGCACCGGCUAACUCCGUGCCAGCCGCCGCGGUAAUUC